rnacentral:sRNA from 1 species
GGCUUGUUGGGGGGCAAUCAUAUGGACGUGUCCGUCGAUAGCGGCGGGAGUUAAAAUCAAGUGUUCUCCGGAGAUGGCAUCGGUGGCGGCUCCGGUUACCAGGUCGGGGCUGACGCCGCGCAUGAUGUUCGGGUUUCCGGCUUUGCCGAUACCUGCAAUUUUCCCGUCUUUGAUGCCUACGUCGGCUUUGAUGACGCCUAAUUUAGGGUCGAUAAUGGUUACAUUCGUGAUGACCAGGUCCAGGGUUCCCCCUUCAGCCGUUGUGGUAUUGGCCAACCCCAUGCCGUCGCGC